rnacentral:rRNA from 1 species
UACGUAGGGGGCAAGCGUUGUCGGAAUCAUUGGGCGUAAAGCGCGUUUCGGCGGUUCGGUAAGUCUGCUGUGAAAGUCCAGGGCUCAACCCUGGGAUGCCGGUGGAUACUGUCGAACUAGAGUACGGGAGAGGCGAGUGGAAUUCCCGGUGUAGCGGUGAAAUGCGCAGAUAUCAGGAGGAACACCGGUGGCGAAGGCGGAUCUCUGGGCCAUUACUGACGCUGAGGAGCGAAAGCGUGGGGAGCGAACAGG